UCGUGGAGGCGGCGUCCUCGCCGCGCUUCGCCGCCGGCGGCGAGGAGGACUGCGCCCCGACAUCGCCGCCUACAUCCGCCGCUUCAGAUCCGCCCUCGACGAGCUCGUGCGCCUCCACCGCGAGAUCGAUCCUCACGGGGGUGGCGAAGUGGAAAACCCUAGUGGCGGGGUUAAGGGAGAGGUUGGGGAUGUGGGCGCUAGGGUUUUGGGGUCAGAGGAGACGAGGGGGAUGAGGAAGAAGAAGAAGCGGAAGAGAGAGGAGGUGGAUGGGGAAAGGAGCGGUUUCGAUGGUGGUCGGGGCGUUGGGGAUUUGGGGGAUGCGAGGAGAAAGAAGAAGAAGAAGAAGGAGAAGAGAUAGGGAAAAGAUGAACUUUAUGGGCUUUUCGGAUUAGGAUCUAAGAAUUUGCGGCGUAACAUUGAAAAAUUUUUGAGUUGAAAUCUGUUCUAUUGGCUUUGUUUGAACAAUUCGAUUCAGACAAUACUUCUGCAGAAACUAUCAACUUGAAUGAGCUUGAGUUUAUGUGGAACUGCUUCUGGCAAAGCAUUGAUUUUGUUUGGAGCCUCGGGCCAUAAUUUUUGGGGUAAACUUCAAAUACUAUUUCUGUAGUUUCGCACUUUCUCACUUUAGUAUCUUGUGGUUUAAAGUGUAUCAAGUUAAUGUCCCGUGGUUUUGCACUUUCUCACCACCGCUCCCCAGUAUCAUGAAGUCUAAAAUGUAUUAGUUAUAUUGCUGCUGUUACGGCAUCUUCAAUCAAUCAGAUUUUUUUUUUUA